rnacentral:rRNA from 1 species
ACUCCUACGGGAGGCAGCAGUGGGGAAUAUUGCACAAUGGGCGCAAGCCUGAUGCAGCCAUGCCGCGUGUAUGAAGAAGGCCUUCGGGUUGUAAAGUACUUUCAGCAGUGAGGAAGGUGGUAGUGUUAAUAGCACUAUCAUUUGACGUUAGCUGCAGAAGAAGCACCGGCUAACUCCGUGCCAGCAGCCGCGGUAAUACGGAGGGUGCGAGCGUUAAUCGGAAUUACUGGGCGUAAAGCGCAUGCAGGUGGUUUGUUAAGUCAGAUGUGAAAGCCCGGGGCUCAACCUCGGAAUUGCAUUUGAAACUGGCAGACUAGAGUACUGUAGAGGGGGGUAGAAUUUCAGGUGUAGCGGUGAAAUGCGUAGAGAUCUGAAGGAAUACCGGUGGCGAAGGCGGCCCCCUGGACAGAUACUGACACUCAGAUGCGAAAGCGU